rnacentral:rRNA from 1 species
GAUGAACGCUGGCGGCGUGCCUAACACAUGCAAGUCGAGCGAAAAGACAAGGAGCUUGUUCCUUUGACGUUAGCGGCGGACGGGUGAGUUACACGUGGAUCACCUACUUAUAUUUCUGGGAUAACUACGGGAAACCGGAGCUAAUACCGGAUAACAUAUUGAACCGCAUGGUUCAAUGGUGAAUGGCGGCUUUGGUGUCUGUUAUAGCUGGUUCCGCGCUGGUUUAGCUGGUUGGUAAGGUCACGGCUUACCAAGGCGACGAUCCGUAGCCGACCUGAGAGGGUGAUCGGCCACACUGGAACUGAGACACGGUCCAGACUCCUACGGGAGGCAGCAGUAGGGAAUGUGGCGCAAUGGGCGAAAGCCUGACGGAGCAACGCCGCGUGAGUGAUGAAGGUCUUCGGAUCGUAAAACUCUGUUAUCGGGGAAGAACAAAUGUGUAAGUAACUGUGCACAUCUUGACGGUACCUGAUCAGAAAGCCACGGCUAACUACGUG